rnacentral:rRNA from 1 species
AUUGAACGCUGGCGGCAGGCCUAACACAUGCAAGUCGAACGAGUGGCGGACGGGUGAGUAAUGUCUGGAAAACUGCCCGAUGGAGGGGGAUAACUACUGGAAACGGUAGCUAAUACCGCAAACCAUCGGAUGUGCCCAGAUGGGAUAAGCGAGUAGGUGGGGUAACGGCUCCCCAAGGCGACCAUCCCUCGCUGGUCUGAGGGUAUGACCAGCCACACGGGAACUGAGACCGGGUCCAGACCCCUACGGUAGGCAGCAGUGGGGAAUAUUGCACAAUGGGCGCAAUCCUGAGGCAGCCAUGCCGGGUGUAGGAGGAAGUCCUUCGGGUGGGAAAGUACGUUCAGCGAGGAGGCGGUACCCGAAUAAGAAGCACCGGCUAACUCCGUGCCAGCAGCCGCGGUAAUUC